rnacentral:ncRNA from 1 species
CAAGGUCUUGGUCUUGAACCUCUUAUUAUCUACACCCCCUAAUUAUACAUGCAAGCCUCACCAUAACAGUGAAAUAGCCCACCACACCCGGUACGGAGCAGGUAUCAGGCAUACGCCCAUGACACCAAGCACAACUAAGCCACACCCCCACGGGUCCACAGCAGUAGCUAACAUUAGGCCAUAAGCGAAAGCUUGACCUAGCAAGGUGGUUUUAGGGCCGGUUAAUCUCGUGCCAGCGACCGCGGUUAUACGACAGACCCAAGAUAAUACAAACGGCGUAAAGCACGACUAAGUCAGCAGUACUAUCAUUAGAGAUGAAGAGCCCCGGGCUGUAAAAAGCCAUAGGCUACACCAACUACACCCCCUAACAACUAAACCGCACUAACUCGUGAAAGCCAGGACACAAACUAAGAUUAGAUACCUUACUAUGCCUAGCCGUAACAAAACAAUUAAAUAACUAAUUGUUCGCCAAAUAACUACGAGUAUAAACUUAAAAUUUAAAAGACUUGACGGUGCUUCACAACAACCUAGAGGAGCCUGUCUAAUAACCGAUACCCCACGAUUAACCCUACCCACCCUAGCCUACCAGUCUAUAUACCGCCGUCGCCAGCUUACCUUGUGAAAGAAACGAAGUAAACCCAAUAAGUUACCCCUAACACGACAGGUCGAGGUGUAACAAAUGGGUGGGUAAAAGAUGGGCUACAUUUUCUAACACAGAAAACACGAACAGACUAUGAAACUAGAAACUGAAGGCGGAUUUAGCAGUAUGUUAAGGACAAAACGCUUAACUGAAACCAAUGCAAUGAAGUGUGUACACACCGCCCGUCAUCCCUGUCACAAACAACAAAAAAUCAAUAAACACAUCACACAUCUUAAAGCAGGGCAAGUCGUAACACGGUAAGCGUACUGGAAAGUGCGCUUAGAAA